GCUACCAGAAGUGCUUGGACGCUCACGGUGGCGCAGCAUCGCUGGCCAGCGGCGGCAGCGGCAGCAGCAGCGACCCCGGCCGCGCCUCGCUCGGGCAGGCGCUCAAGUCGCUCGUGGGCUCGCUCACCGGCCGCCGCGCCUCGUGAGCGAGCGAGCACUCACCCAGCAGCCCUUCCCCGGGCCCCUCGCCGCCUCGCAGCGCGGGCCCGGGCGCCGCCAACCAACACGAAUACGACAACCUCUUCGAAUCCUUCCAGAACCGGGAGUGAACUUGAGCUAGGCCAUGGCUGCGACUUGACGAGAAUCAACCCAAUCGCUACCGUUUCAAGAUUCAAUUUCGAAUGCUCUACAGACUUUUAGUGUGACAAUUGAACGUGAAACGGUACCGUUUAAGUUUUCUACCAAGUUCCAGGUGUUGUUCCAUGCGCUGCUGCUGGUGAGAGCUCCUUAAUAAAACGGACAUUUACGUGCUAAGUUCUGACGCUAGCGGGUGGAGAUAUUUAUAUUUAGGUCGUUUCAUUACAGCUGGCACGAAUGUCAUGUGAAAUGAUUUCAAAAAGAGAAUAUUCGUACCAGCUUUGCUAACACUUAUCACGAUAUCUUCUAAUACUAGUUAAUCGUACGCCAUUUGUAGAAGGCGCUAGUAUGGAUGCGCCCGCGCCCGCUAGUAUAUGGACGCACAAAAAUAUAGGCGCCUUGAACUAGUCCAUUUAUGAUUAUGUGGCAUAUAGCAAUCUCGUGGCGUUUGUUGACUAUCUAAUUAAUUGACAAUACUGUUGUGGUUAUAUUAUUAAGUGGAUAUGUCAAACAACGUAUAAUCCGUUGAGUUAUAAAGUAAGUAUUUGCAAGCACGCAACACGCAUUGCGAGAACAUUAAUAUAAAGAAUUCAAUCGACUGCAUUAAACAUAUCUAUUAGUUCUUUUGUAUUUAAGACACUGUAACUUGCUUGU